rnacentral:rRNA from 1 species
AUUGAACGCUGGCGGCAUGCCUUACACAUGCAAGUCGAACGGCAGCACGGGAGCAAUCCUGGUGGCGAGUGGCGAACGGGUGAGUAAAGUAUCGGAACGUGCCCAGUCGUGGGGGAUAACGUAGCGAAAGUUACGCUAAUACCGAAUACGAUCUAUGGAUGAAAGCGGGGGAUCGCAAGACCUCGCGCGAUUGGAGGGGCCGGUAUCAGAUUAGGUAGUUGGUGGGGUAAAGGCUCACCAAGCCGCCGAUCUGUAGCUGGUCUGAGAGGACGACCAGCCACACUGGGACUGAGACACGGCCCAGACUCCUACGGGAGGCAGCAGUGGGGAAUUGUGGACAAUGGGCGAAAGCCUGAUCCAGCCAUGCCGCGUGCAGGAUGAAGGCCUUCGGGUUGUAAACUGCUUUUGUACGGAACGAAAAGGUUUGGCCUAAUAAGCUGAGCUCAUGACGGUACCGUAAGAAUAAGCACCGGCUAACUACGUGCCAGCAGCCGCCGUAA